CCCUCCUGCACCCCUCCAUGCCAAGAACAGAGCGCCGCCCCGAACACUGUAGAUGGUUCGGUAACCCCAGUCUCACGCACAACCUCCGAAAUACGCUCCUACCCGGACAUGACAGAUGUGACCCAAGAUGGCCCAUCAGAGUCAACCCUGGAACUUUCC